rnacentral:rRNA from 1 species
UACGUAGGGGGCUAGCGUUGUCCGGAUUUAUUGGGCGUAAAGAGCGUGUAGGCGGCCGAGUAAGUCCGGUGUGAAAACUCGAGGCUUAACCUCGAGAUGUCAUCGGAAACUAUUCGGCUAGAGUCCGGAAGAGGAGAGUGGAAUUCCUGGUGUAGCGGUGAAGUGCGCAGAUAUCAGGAAGAACACCUAUGGCGAAAGCAGCUCUCUGGGACGGUACUGACGCUGAGACGCGAAAGCGUGGGGAGCGAACAGG